CUACAGCAAGACAAGAAAUGCCUUGCAUAAUCAAAAGUAUGAAAUCCAAUCAAAUCCGAAUUUAGUAGGGCUCGCAGAAGCUCUUCUCGAAUAGGCAAUGUCUUAUAAAUCUCUGAUGAAGGAAAGGGGCUAUGGAGGAAGAAGCCAAGUUUCACCCUAUUAAACCUCUUCCUAAGGAAAGUUGGCAGCACCAUAAGAUGAUAGUCAUGCACCCAUACAAAAUCAUCUUCUGGGUUAAUCACCUCCAUGAUCCUAUCAGCAAAAAUCUUAUUUGCUGAAACAUAUGCUUGCCACAGUGACCGAUUAAACCUACCACCAAGGUCAGG
rnacentral:misc_RNA from 1 species